UACGAAGGGGGCUAGCGUUGCUCGGAAUUACUGGGCGUAAAGCGCACGUAGGCGGCUUGUUAAGUCAGGGGUGAAAUCCUGGAGCUCAACUCCAGAACUGCCUCGAUACUGGAAGACUCGAGUCCGGGAGAGGUGAGUGGAACUGCGAGUGUAGAGGUGAAAUUCGUAGAUAUUCGCAAGAACACCAGUGGCGAAGGCGGCUCACUGGCCCGGUACUGACGCUGAGGUGCGAAAGCGUGGGGAGCAAACAGG
rnacentral:rRNA from 1 species